rnacentral:rRNA from 1 species
GGUAGCCGGCCUGAGAGGGCGACCGGCCACACUGGGACUGAGACACGGCCCAGACUCCUACGGGAGGCAGCAGUGGGGAAUAUUGGGCAAUGGAGGAAACUCUGACCCAGCGACGCCGCGUGCGGGAUGAAGGCCUUCGGGUUGUAAACCGCUUUCAGCAGGGAAGAAGCGAAAGUGACGGUACCUGCAGAAGAAGCACCGGCUAACUAUGUGCCAGCAGCCGCGGUAAUACAUAGGGUGCAAGCGUUGUCCGGAAUUAUUGGGCGUAAAGAGCUCGUAGGUGGUUCGUCACGUCGGAUGUGAAACUCUGGGGCUUAACCCCAGACCUGCAUUCGAUACGGGCGAGCUUGAGUAUGGUAGGGGA